rnacentral:rRNA from 1 species
GACGAACGCUGGCGGCGUGCCUAAUACAUGCAAGUUGAGCGCUGAAGGCUGGUACUUGUGCCAACUGGAUGAGCAGCGAACGGGUGAGUAACGCGUGGGGAAUCUGCCUUUGAGCGGGGGACAACAUUGGGAAACGAAUGCUAAUACCGCAUGAAAACCUGAAACACAAGUUUUAAGGUUGAAAGAUGCAAUUGCAUCACUCAAAGAUGAUCCCGCGUUGUAUUAGCUAGUUGGUGAGGUAAAGGCUCACCAAGGCGAUGAUACAUAGCCGACCUGAGAGGGUGGUCGGCCACCUUGGGACUGAGACACGGCCCAAACUCCUACGGGAGGCAGCAGUAGUGAAUCGUCGGCAAUGGACGGAAGUCUGACCGAGCAACGCCGCGUGAGUGAAGAAGGUUGUCGGAUCGUAAAACUCUGUUGGUAGAGAAGAACGUUGGUGAGAGUGGAAAGCUCAUCAAGUGACGGUAACUACCCAGAAAGGGACGACUAACUACGUG